GAACGACGCUGACGGCGUACCUAAUACAUGCAAGUAGAACGCUGAAGGAGGAGCCGCUCUUCUGGAUGAGUUGCGAACGGGUGAGUAGCGCGUAAGUAACCUGCCCGGUAGCGGGGGAUAACUACUGGAAACGAUAGCUAAUACCGCAUAAAGAGUAGAUGUCGCAUGACAUUUGCUUAAAAGGUGCAAUUGCAUCACUACCAGAUGGCGCUGCGUUGUAUUAGAUAGUCGGUGAGGUAACGGCUCACCAAGGCAACGAUACAUAGCCGACCUGAGAGGGUGAUCGGCCCCACUGUUUUGAGUAAGGGCCCAGACUCCUACGGGAGGCAGCUGUAGGAAAUCUUCGUCUGUGGACGGAAGUCUGUCCGAGCAACGCAGCGUGAGUGAAGACGCUUUUCGGAUCGUCAGCUCUGUUCCAGAGAAGAACGAGUGUGAGAGUGGAAAGUUCACACUGUGUCGGUAUCUUACCAGUAACGGACGGCUAACUCAGUCCCACCAGUCGCGGAAAUAUGUUGGUCCCGAGCGUUGUCCGGAUUUAUUGGGAGUAAAGCGAACGCAGGUCCAUAGAGUAGUGAGAAGUUAAAGGCUGUAAGCAACCAUAGUACACUUUGGAAACUAUUUAACUUGAGUGCAAGUUUCCAAUAGGAAUUCCAUGUGUAGCGGUGAGUUACGUAGAUAUAUGUAGGAACUCCGGAAGCGAAAGCGACUAUCUGGCUCGUAAUUGACGGUUAGGCUUGCAAGUGUGGGGAGCAAACAGG
rnacentral:rRNA from 1 species